AAGCUCUUAAAUGGGCUCCCAAGUGAGGUGUUACUCUCUCCUACUUUGGGGGUCUUCAAGAUGAGGCUGGACUGAUAUUUGGCUGAGGUGAUAUGAUCCUGGCACCCAUU